GCAGCAGCCACGGGAAUACGUAGGUGGCAAGCGUUGUCCGGAAUUAUUGGGCGUAAAGGGCUCGCAGGCGGUUUCUUAAGUCUGAUGUGGAAGCCCCCGGCUCAACCGGGGAGGGUCAUUGGAAACUGGGAAACUUGAGUGCAGAAGAGGAGAGUGGAAUUCCACGUGUAGCGGUGAAAUGCGUAGAGAUGUGGAGGAACACCAGUGGCGAAGGCGACUCUCUGGUCUGUAACUGACGCUGAGGAGCGAAAGCGUGGGGAGCGAACAGGAUUAGAUACCCCCGUAGUCCCUGUCUCUUAUAU
rnacentral:rRNA from 1 species